UACAGAGGUCCCAAGCGUUGUCCGGAUUUAUUGGGCGUAAAGAGCGUGUAGGCGGCUUUACAGGUCCGUUGUGAAAACUCGAGGCUCAACCUCGAGACGCCGGUGGAAACCGUAAAGCUAGAGUCCGGAAGAGGAGAGUGGAAUUCCCGGUGUAGCGGUGAAAGUGCGCAGAUAUCGGGAAGAACACCUAUGGCGAAGGCAGCUCUCUGGGGACGGUACUGACGCUGAGACGCGAAAGCGUGGGGGAGCGAACAGG
rnacentral:rRNA from 1 species